GCCCGGAUAGCUCAGUCGGUAGAGCAUCAGACUUUUAAUCUGAGGGUCUGAGGGUCCAGGGUUCAAAUCCUUGUUCGGGCG